rnacentral:rRNA from 1 species
AGUGAACGCUGGCGGUAGGCCUAACACAUCCAAGUCGAACGGCAGCACAGUAAGAGCUUGCUCUUACGGGUGGCGAGUGGCGGACGGGUGAGGAAUACAUCGGAAUCUACUUUUUCGUGGGGGAUAACGUAGGGAAACUUACGCUAAUACCGCAUACGACCUACGGGUGAAAGCAGGGGAUCUUCGGACCUUGCGCGAUUGAAUGAGCCGAUGUCGGAUUAGCUAGUUGGCGGGGUAAAGGCCCACCAAGGCGACGAUCCGUAGCUGGUCUGAGAGGAUGAUCAGCCACACUGGAACUGAGACACGGUCCAGACUCCUACGGGAGGCAGCAGUGGGGAAUAUUGGACAAUGGGCGCAAGCCUGAUCCAGCCAUACCGCGUGGGCGAAGAAGGCCUUCGGGUUGUAAAGCCCUUUUGUUGGGAAAGAAAAGCAGCAGGUUAAUACCCCGCUGUUCUGACGGUACCCAAAGAAUGAGCACCGGCUAACUUCGUG